rnacentral:rRNA from 1 species
GACGAACGCUGGCGGCGUGCUUAACACAUGCAAGUCGAACGGUGAAGCGCCUUCCUUUUUGGUGGGUGUGGAUGAGUGGCGAACGGGUGAGUAACACGUGAGUAACCUGCCCCCUUCUUCUGGAUAACCGCAUGAAAGUGUGGCUAAUACGGGAUAUUCUGGGUCUGUCGCAUGAUGGGUCUGGGAAAGAUAUUGUUUCGGUGGGGGAUGGGCUCGCGGCCUAUCAGCUUGUUGGUGGGGUGAUGGCCUACCAAGGCGGUGACGGGUAGCCGGCCUGAGAGGGUGGACGGUCACACUGGGACUGAGACACGGCCCAGACUCCUACGGGAGGCAGCAGUGGGGAAUAUUGCACAAUGGGCGCAAGCCUGGUGCAGCGACGCCGCGUGAGGGAUGGAGGCCUUCGGGUUGUGAACCUCUUUCGCCAGUGAAGCAGGCCUGCCUCGUUUGUGGGUGGGUUGACGGUAGCUGGAUAAGAAGCGCCGGCUAACUACGU